UACGAAGGGGGCUAGCGUUGCUCGGAAUCACUGGGCGUAAAGGGUGCGUAGGCGGGGUAUUAAGUCAGAGGUGAAAUCCUGGAGCUCAACUCCAGAACUGCCUUUGAUACUGAUAGUCUUGAGUAUGGGAGAGGUGAGUGGAACUGCGAGUGUAGAGGUGAAAUUCGUAGAUAUUCGCAAGAACACCAGUGGCGAAGGCGGCUCACUGGCCCGAUACUGACGCUGAGACACGAAAGCGUGGGGAGCAAACAGG
rnacentral:rRNA from 1 species